rnacentral:rRNA from 1 species
CCCUUAGAUGUUCUGGGCCGAACGCGCGCUACACUGAUGCAUUCAACGAGCCUAUCCUUGACCGACAGGUCCGGGUAAUCUUUGAAUCUGCAUCGUGACGGGGAUAGAUUAUUGCAAUUAUUAAUCUUCAACGAGGAAUGCCUAGUAGGCGCAAGUCAUCAGCUUGCGUCGAUUACGUCCCUGCCCUUUGUACACACCGCCCGUCGCUCCUACCGAUUGGGUGUGCUGGUGAAAUGUUCGGAUCGGCCGUUUGUCGCGGUUUCCGCGUCAUGUGGCUGAGAAGUUCAUUAAACCCUCCCACCUAGAGGAAGGAGAAGUCGUAACA